rnacentral:rRNA from 1 species
AACGAACGCUGGCGGCAGGCCUAACACAUGCAAGUCGAGCGGACCGUUCGGGGUCAUCGGCGGACGGGUGUGUAACGCGUGGGAAUAUUCCCUUCUCUACGGAAUAGUUCUGGGAAACUGGGGGUAAUACCGUAUACGCCCUUUUGGGGAAAGAUUUAUUGGGGAAGGAUUUUCCCGCGUUGGAUUAGGUUGUUGGUUGGGUAAUAGCCUACCAAGCCGACGAUCCAUAGCUGGGUUGAGAGGAUGAUCAGCCACACCUGGAGUGAGAAGCGGCCCAGACUCCUACGGGAGGCAGCAGUGGCGAAUCUUAGAAAAUGGGGGCAACCAUGAUCUAGCCAUGCCGGGUGAGUGAUGAAGGCCUUAGGGUUGUAAAGCGCUUUCAGCUGGGAAGAUAAUGACGGUACCAGCAGAAGAAGCCCCGGCUAACUCCGUG